rnacentral:lncRNA from 1 species
AUGCCUGAGAGAAAGAUGCCCAGGCUGUACUGGCCCUCAACACCAGGCCCUGCAAGUAGCCCCGGCCUUGGGAACCAGGGGCAGGCAGUCCUCGGAGUAGCUACCGCCUCUCCACCCCCCCCCCGCCCCCAUCUGCUCCCAAAGAAACACUACCCCAGCCUCCCCUGGCCCAUCUGCCCAGCUUUCUGCCCCUUGACCUCCGCCACCUCAGCGGGCGCCCAGACCAUGCGAGCAGCAGGUGCAAGACGCGGGGGUGGCACCGAGCUGACACGAAACCCCACUCGCCCCCACCUCCUGAACCUUGCGGGCCUCCGCCACAGCCCUCCUGCCACCCCAGGCUGGCGCUUCCGUCGGGAGGUAGAGAUGGGGGCGGGGGGCAGCCAGCCGCCUGCCUCCCUCAGACUCCGGGGUGGCGCCGGCAAUGUCCUUCCCCGCCCGUCCGCGGACGCGAGGGCACCGGGGCCCCCCAGCCGGCCCUCCCGCCAAGGACGCGGCUCCGCAGUGGCCCGGGCGGGGGCCGAGGCCGCAGCCCCCAGCCCCGCGCCCCGCCCUCCGGCCCCGCACGGCGCUCUCGCCAGGCCCGGCGCCCGCCCGGCGGCCUCGCAGCGCGGUCGCGGUCGCAGUCGCGGUCGCGGUCCCGCCCCCGGCCCGGCCUUGCUCACCCGGGGCGCUGCAGUCCGCACACACCUCCGCCCGCGGCCCCUUCCGGGACAUCCUCAGCGGCGACGCGGCCGCAGCCCUCUGGGCCAGCGUGGGGGGCGCGGGCGGCGGGCCCGGGCGGCGGCUGCCUCUGCUGCCCGGCCCGGCUCCGGCAAGGCCCCGGCUAGGCUCCGCGCGCCCGGCCAACCGUCCGCCCCCGGGGCUGGCCCGGAACCCGCCGUGCCCGCCUGCCCGCUCGCCCUCCGGCGCCCUCCGCCCCGCGCCGCCCCGCGCCGCCCUGCCGCCGCUCGCUCUCUCCGCCCCCUGCGCGGCUCCGGGCCGCUCCUGCAGGAAGCGGCGCAGGCCCUGCCCACCGGGGGAGGGGCAGCC